rnacentral:rRNA from 1 species
GAUGAACGCUGGCGGCGUGCCUAAUACAUGCAAGUCGAGCGAACAGACGAGGAGCUUGCUCCUCUGACGUUAGCGGCGGACGGGUGAGUAACACGUGGAUAACCUACCUAUAAGACUGGGAUAACUUCGGGAAACCGGAGCUAAUACCGGAUAAUAUAUUGAACCGCAUGGUUCAAUAGUGAAAGACGGUUUUGCUGUCACUUAUAGAUGGAUCCGCGCCGCAUUAGCUAGUUGGUAAGGUAACGGCUUACCAAGGCGACGAUGCGUAGCCGACCUGAGAGGGUGAUCGGCCACACGGGAACUGAGACACGGUCCAGCCUCCUAGGGGGGGCAGCAGUAGGGAAUCUUCCGCAAUGGGCGAAACCCUGAAGGAGCAACCCCGCGGGGGUGAAGAAGGUUUUCGGAUCGUAAAACUCUGUUAUUAGGGAAAAACAAAUGUGUAAGUAACUAUGCACGUCUUGACGGUACCAAAUCAGAAAGCCACGGCUAACUACGG